ACGGAAGGCAGCAGUAGGGAAUAUUGCACAAUGGGGGAAACCCUGAUGCAGCAACGCCACGUGUGGGAAGAAGCAUUUCGGUGUGUAAACCACUGUCGUGAAGGAAUAAGGCUUAUUUUCGGAUAAGUUGAAUGUACUUUGAAAGGAAGCACCGGCAAACUUCGUGCCAGCAGCCGCGGUUAAUACGAGGGGCGCAAGCGUUGUUCGGAAUCACUGGGCGUAAAGGGAGCGCAGGCGGAGAUGCAAGCAGUCGGUACAAUACCGGGGCCCAACCCCGGACCUGCAGACUGGACUGUUUCUCUUGGAUAGCUCAGGGGCUGGCGGAAUUCCUGGUGUAGCGGUGGAAUGCGUAGAGAUCAGGAAGAACACCGAUGACGAAGGCGGCCAGCUGGGGGCUUAUCGACGCUCAUGCUCGAAAGUGCGGGUAGCAAACAGGAUUAGAUACCCUGGUA
rnacentral:rRNA from 1 species